UUGGAGGGCAAGUCUGGUGCCAGCAGCCGCGGUAAUUCCAGCUCCAAUAGCGUAUAUUAAAGUUGUUGCAGUUAAAAAGCUCGUAGUUGAAUUUCGGGAUCAGAGUGUCGGUCGUGCCUCGGUACGAACUGGUAUUAUUGGUUCCUACCUUCUGAAGAACCGCGAUGUCAUUAAUUUGGUGUCGUGGGGAAUCAGGACUGUUACUUUGAAAAAAUUAGAGUGUUUAAAGCAGGCUUACGCUUGAAUACAUUAGCAUGGAAUAAUGAAAUAGGACGUUUGAUUCUAUUUUGUUGGUUUCUAGGAUUGACGUAAUGAUUAAUAGGGAUAGUUGGGGGCAUUAGAAUUCAAUUGUCAGAGGUGAAAUUCUUGGAUUUAUUGAAGACUAACUACUGCGAAAGCAUUUGCCAAGGAUGUUUUCAUUAAUCAAGAACGAAAGUUAGGGGAUCGAAGACGAUCAGAUACCGUCGUAGUCUUAACCAUAAACUAUGCCGACUAGGGAUCGGAUGAUGUUAAUUUUUUAAUGACUCAUUCGGCGCCUUGCGGGAAACCAAAGUGUUUGGGUUC
rnacentral:rRNA from 1 species